UGUCCUGUCCCUCCAGCCCUUGUCCCCAGUCCCUCUCCAGCUCUCCUGGAGCCCCUUUAGGCUCUGGAAGGGGCUCCAAGGUCUCCCUGGAUCCUUCCCUUCCCCAGCUGAGCCCCCCCAGCUCUCCCAGCCUGGCUCCAGAGCAGAGGGGCUCCAGCCCUGGCAGCAUCUCUGGGGCCUCCUCUGGACUCUCUGCAGCAGCUCCACGUCCUUGUGCUGCUGUUGCCCAGGACUGUGAGGGGACGGUUCUCGGGGCACGCUGUGACUCUCAGGCGGCCCUGAUCCCCUCAGGGGGACCGUUGGAGCUCGGCUGGUGCUGAGGCGGCCAUGCCGGCCCUGGAGCCGCCCAGGCCCCCUGGUACCCCCAGACUGCUGGCCCGGGACAGGUUGUCGGUUAAAUGUUUGGAGAAGGAGCCGAGCCCAGGAAAGUGGGAGUUGCCCAGAGAGGCUCCUCAGUGUGAUCCAGGUUGCGGGUUAAAUGUUUGGAGAAGGAGCCGAGCCCAGGAAAGUGGGAGUUGCCCAGAGAGGCUCCUCAGUGUGAUUCAGGUACCGUGAUCUGUUGGACUGACUGUGGGAUCGAGCAUAAAUGCUGUUAUCAGGUGCCUGUUUCUUACCCUCACAGAACUGGUACUGAAUUUUUCAUUUCUGACAAACCUGUGGCCUGGAGCAGUGACUUCUGCAUUUUCUGUCAUGUAUAGGACGUGUAAAAAUAUUCCUCUGUGAGAUACACUCCUCUACUUGAAAUUCCCACAGAAGUCCAUUGUUGUGCAACA